rnacentral:rRNA from 1 species
UACGUAGGGUGCAAGCGUUGUCCGGAAUUAUUGGGCGUAAAGGGCUCGUAGGCGGCCAACUAAGUCAAACGUGAAAUCCCUCGGCUUAACCGGGGAACUGCGUCUGAUACUGGAUGGCUUGAGUUUGGGAGAGGGAUGCGGAAUUCCAGGUGUAGCGGUGAAAUGCGUAGAGAUCGGGAGGAACACCAGUGGCGAAGGCGGCCGGCUGGGGGUGACCUGACGCUGAGGCGCGAAAGCGUGGGGAGCGAACCGG